CUGUCAAUUUUUUUGACGUAUCUCAUAUAUUAUAGUAUUACAAUGAAGUGCUCUAAUUUAUCUGUUAAAAAAGGUUUCAUCACUGUUUCCUGUAGUAAUUCUCAAUAAUGUUUUAAAUAGGAUAGAUUAAAUAGGAUAUAUUAUCUAAAGUAAACAGGCUUUUAAGCCUUCAAUUUGCCCCAAUUGACAUGAAGUGCGCAUUUCGAAAAGCCAGUGAACGCAGCGUCAUACGGGCACCCCCACCCCAAUCCCCCGGAAACCCUCGGAUGAACCCGCAGGAAAGCGCGCGGCUGAAGAACUUCUUGGACAGCUGGAAGGCCGCAGCAUCACGGUGAAGGCCUCUUCUGUAUAGAGGACGGGGGCGGAAACGUCACGUGGUCUCCGCAGAGACUGGUCAGUUAUUUGGAGACAACAUGUACAAAUAGUUCCUGGACUGAUCUUCUGCUAACUUUGAGAUGGAGAGGCUGUCAGGUUCAUCUGUUUCAGGGUCCUGCAUGCUCUCCCUCCAUGUUGGCUGUAGCAGUGGAUGGAACUUGCUAAAUGCUCAGUGGUUAUUUGGAAGAUGCGUUUUUGACCAAAAACACUGUGGAAACCUCCUUUGUGAACUGCAUUCAUGGGGAAAUAGAAUAUAAUCCUGGAGAUGGGAGAUGUGGAGCAGGUAAGUUUGUGGCAGCACCAGAGUCCUCCAACAAGUCUUCUGGCAAAGUAAAUGAGGAAGGAUCGCAGUCUGCCAUCGUGGAGUUUUGCUGAAAGGCCUGAACACGUUCCAUCCAUGCAUCCAUCUUCUUCCAUUCAUCAGGAACCAGGUUGUGAGGGCAGCAGUCUAAGCAAAGAUGCCCACACUUCCCUUUCCUCCAGCUCCUCUUGGGGGACCCCGGGGCCAGCUGAAAGACGUAGUCUCCCCAGCGUGUCCUGGGUCUCCCUUAGGGCCUCUGCCCUUAUUCCUGUUGGAGUUUUUUUCUAACCCCUUAUGUUUCAAAAGUUUGCAAACAUACAUUUUGGUUGAAAUGAUGAGGAUCCGAGGAUGAAAUCAAGAAGGGACAACAUCAGGGAAAGGGACUGAACCGACUGAACAGCUUCCUCUCUUCAGCAGACACAUGUUCCGAGUACAUAUGUGUCAAAAACUGACAUCCUCGCCGUUCAGGCCGGUGGCUGGAACAAGCGGAAGUCAGAAAAGCUGGAGCAGACGUGACCAGAAUGAUACCUCCAGGACCAAUCAAAAUGACCCAGAGAAAAACACUGAAGGGCUUUGUCUGAGCAUCAGGAAAACAAGAAUCAGCUGUCAUCAACAUAUGGUUAUGGUGCCAUGGUAAAGAACUAAAGGCUCUAUGAUGUCAUGCUGCUGACCAGACUGUGGUUGGUGAAGUCCAGCAGCACUGCAGGUCCUUGAAGUGUGGUUGAAGAGCUCUUCUCCCAGCUUUUGGAAGGCAGCACAGAGUCAUUGAUGGAGAGAGGACGUGAGGGACUAAUUGUCUGCUGAGGAGGAGACUUUCUGGAGUUCAAGCCCCAGCUCCACCCCUAAAAAAAGGCUUAUAUAAAGGAAAACCUCAUUUCAACUUUGUACCAAUAAAUGACUUUUAAUUGAAA